AUUUUACAGAGACAUAUUUGUGGCCGAUGAAGGAUCUAUAUUUCAGUGCUAUCUUUUUUUUCUGGCUUAAUUGUAUCCAAAGUGGAGUUCUAACUGCCUGAACUACACGAUCGCCAAAGGCACCUAAAGUUCUCCUCUUUGUCCUUAAACCUCAAGUUACCAUUGAUUGCAGUCAUAAGUCUGAUUGAUAGACAUCUUUAUAACAAGGGACAAAAGCUACCCAUGUCAGCCUCAGAGGACAACCACUACACAAAUGAAGUUAAUUGUCAAGGAUGCCAGUUCUAUAUACUGUGGAAUAGAAGCAAUGUUCAUGUGGGAACAAGAUGGCUCUCCUUCAAACAAUAAAGACUUCUUCAAACCACUUUGCAGAAUCAGCUGAGACAAUGAUCAACUGAAUCAACACGUGACCAAGACUGUUUAAUUAUGAAUACAUUUUGUCCCUGCCCAUUUUUCCUCUGUAUAAACCUGGAGCUAAUGUCAGUGUCCUGAAAACAAACAGGAUGCAGACACUGAAUCUUUUUUAGCUGUAAUUCUCAGUGUGGUCACAUUGAAUAAAGAUCCUCUCUUCCUUUUGUUA